rnacentral:rRNA from 1 species
GAUGCUUAUUUCUAGAGAUAGAAAGUUACUUCGGUACAUCGGUGACAGGUGGUGCAUGGUUGUCGUCAGCUCGUGUCGUGAGAUGUUGGGUUAAGUCCCGCAACGAGCGCAACCCCUAUUGUUAGUUGCCAUCAUUCAGUUGGGCACUCUAGCGAGACUGCCGGUAAUAAACCGGAGGAAGGUGGGAUGACGUCAAAUCAUCAUGCCCCUUAUGACCUGGGCUACACACGUGCUACAAUGGUUGGUACAACGAGUUGCGAGUCGGUGACGGCGAGCUAAUCUCUUAAAGCCAAUCUCAGUUCGGAUUGUAGGCUGCAACUCGCCUACAUGAAGUCGGAAUCGCUAGUAAUCGCGGAUCAGCACGCCGCGGUGAAUACGUUCCCGGGCCUU